rnacentral:rRNA from 1 species
AGAAUCAACGCUGGCGGCGUGCCUAACACAUGCAAGUCGAACGAGAAAGUGGAGCAAUCCAUGAGUACAGUGGCGUACGGGUGAGUAACACGUGACUACCUACCCUCGAGUGGGGAAUAACCUCGGGAAACCGGGGCUAAUACCGCAUAAUGUCUUCGGACCAAAUGCGUAAGCAGCUUGAGGAGGGGGUCGCGGCCGAUUAGCUAGUUGGUGAGGUAAUGGCCCACCAAGGCAAUGAUCGGUAGCCGGCCUGAGAGGGCGCACGGCCACACUGGAACUGAAACACGGUCCAGACUCCUACGGGAGGCAGCAGUGGGGAAUUUGCGCAAUGGGGGAAACCCUGACGCAGCAACGCCACGUGGAGGAUGAAGCCCCUUGGGGUGUAAACUCCUUUCGAUCGGGACGAUUAUGACGGUACCGGAUGAAGAAGCACCGGCUAACUCUGCGCCAGCAGCCGC